rnacentral:misc_RNA from 1 species
GUCAUAAUUUCAUAUAUAAACAUUCUAAGAUUUUAAAAGUGUGUGUAAGGACCCGACUAUAUGCGGGUCAAAGGUGCACAGGUGUAAAUGUAUCGGACAAGGCGUGCAGCCGAAGCGCACAGCAAAGUCCUUUACGUUUGGAAUUCAAUAAUGAUCCUUCCGCAGGUUCACCUACGGAAA